ensembl:lncRNA
UUUGAGAAGAAAAAUGCUAGGAUAAUAGCAUUGAGUUGGAGGGGGAGCCAGGAGGCGGUAGCAGACCUAAGCCAACUUGACUGAAGGUGAUGUUCUCGACGGCUGCAGUUCCUCAGUUCAGUCCCUUUGUGAGAAAACAUCCACAAAGAAAAGUGGUAACAGGAUCCAGUGUGUCUCUUAAAGGAUAACUGGAGCAGAAAUGAUGCUGAUGCUGUGAAAUAGGUCAAACGUGACAGGACACCUUAUCUGUUAAGCUGUGAACCCCACCAUUGCUCCUCUGCCUCUGUAUCGAUUAUGUGACUGCUUUGAAACACGCCUGAAACCUUUGCCUGUCGCCUUGUAUGACCACACUGCACAGUUAGCACAGGAGAGGCAGCGUGUCCUGUGAGCUGGGUGAUC